AACGCACAUUGCGCCCCUUGGUAUUCCGGGGGGCAUACCUGUUCGAGCGUCAUUACACCUCUCAAGCGUAGCUUGGUAUUGGGCCUCGCUCCCUCAAAAGGGCGUGCCUGAAAAGUAGUGGCGGUCCGGCGUGGCCUUGAACGUAGUAAAAUUUAUCCCGUUCUGAAGGUCCGCGCCGUGGCUGGCCAUAACACCCCACACUUUCAAGAAUUGACCUCGGAUCAGGUAGGGAUACCCGCUGAACUUAA
rnacentral:misc_RNA from 1 species